GUUACUCUUUUUAACAUGCUUGGGCAAAUAGCCUUGUAUCCAUUGUUUUUAAUUCUUACAAUGUCUUAUAUGACAUUGUAAUUAUAAUUCCCUAUCAUUGAAGUUUGUUAUUGCAUGUAUAAUUUUAGAACUUUAUUUCUUCGUCAGCAGGAAGCGGCUUGAUUCAUCUCUUCAAGAUUUGGAAGAGAAACAACACAACAAGCGAGAAGUAAUAUUAAAGGUGCAGCAGAGGAUUCAAUCUCAUCAAGCUGGAAAAGCCAAGACUUAGCUCCUCUUCAUAUAUUUCUCCGAAUGACCGGUAUCAUUCGAGUCGAAUAUCAUUUAAUGCUGCAUUCUGCAGUUGUACAUCAUAAUCGGAGCUUUAAUCCGGUGUUCUCGAUCCAUGGCGUUGUAAAAGCUACAGUCUGUGCUAGCCUCUUUAACCAUGAUAGUUAACGAUACGACAUGGUAAGUUUUUCGAAGCACUCUCAGCUUUUUCUUUUCUACUGCCCUUUUUCGGUGAGACUGAUGAUUGAUUGCUACUUAAAUACUGGAGUUUGAUUGCU